AUCCUCCAAUAAGCCUUCACUUAUAUCAUCAAUAGUCUGACCCUUGUGCAAUCUUACAUAUACAUGGGCGGAAGACAUUUUAUCCACAUGAAACCUGCAACAAACAAACCCUAAUAAGAAUACACCAGUUAAAGGUUCAGACAAGCUUAAGAGAAUCUAAUUGUGCAUCAAGGCACGGUCCCUCUCUCUCUCUUUUAAUUGAAUUGACAACGACGGAGCUCCCUUAGGUGACUCUAUAUAUUGAAUUUGUGAAUUUGCGGAUUUUUUUAACAAUAAUUUAGUUGUAAUUUCUGAAUAUACUGGAUUUUGGUUGUGCUUUCUGUAUGGGGCUCCAAUUUCUA